rnacentral:rRNA from 1 species
GCAUGGGGGUGCUAUAAUGCAAGUCGAGCGGACCGACGGGAGCUUGCUCCCUUAGGUCAGCGGCGGACGGGUGAGUAACACGUGGGUAACCUGCCUGUAAGACUGGGAUAACUCCGGGAAACCGGGGCUAAUACCGGAUGCUUGAUUGAACCGCAUGGUUCAAUCAUAAAAGGUGGCUUUUAGCUACCACUUACAGAUGGACCCGCGGCGCAUUAGCUAGUUGGUGAGGUAACGGCUCACCAAGGCGACGAUGCGUAGCCGACCUGAGAGGGUGAUCGGCCACACUGGGACUGAGACACGGCCCAGACUCCUACGGGAGGCAGCAGUAGGGAAUCUUCCGCAAUGGACGAAAGUCUGACGGAGCAACGCCGCGUGAGUGAUGAAGGUUUUCGGAUCGUAAAACUCUGUUGUUAGGGAAGAACAAGUACCGUUCGAAUAGGGCGGUACCUUGACGGUACCUAACCAGAAAGCCACGGCUAACUACGUGCCAGCAGCCGCGGUAAUACGUAGGUGGCAAGCGUUGUCCGGAAUUAUUGGGCGUAAAGCGCGCGCAGGCGGUUUCUUAAGUCUGAUGUGAAAGCCCCCGGCUCAACCGGGGAGGGUCAUUGGAAACUGGGGAACUUGAGUGCAGAAGAGGAGAGUGGAAUUCCACGUGUAGCGGUGAAAUGCGUAGAGAUGUGGAGGAACACCAGUGGCGAAGGCGACUCUCUGGUCUGUAACUGACGCUGAGGCGCGAAAGCGUGGGGAGCGAACAGGAUUAGAUACCCUGGUAGUCCACGCCGUAAACGAUGAGUGCUAAGUGUUAGAGGGUUUCCGCCCUUUAGUGCUGCAGCAAACGCAUUAAGCACUCCGCCUGGGGAGUACGGUCGCAAGACUGAAACUCAAAGGAAUUGACGGGGGCCCGCACAAGCGGUGGAGCAUGUGGUUUAAUUUCGAAGCAACGCGGAAGAACCUUACCAGGUCUUGACAUCCUCUGACAAACCCUAGAGAUAGGGCUUUCCCCUUCGGGGGCAGAGUGACAGUGUGCAUGGAUUGUCGUCAGCUCGUGUCGUGAGAUGUUGGGAUAGUCCCGCACGAGCGCAAGCUGAAUCUAUUGCAGCAUUCAGUUGGGCACGUCUAA